AUUGAACGCUGGCGGCAUGCUUUACACAUGCAAGUCGAACGAGUGGCGCACGGGUGAUUAAUACAUCGGAACGUGUCCUAUCGUAGGGGAUAACUGAUCGAAAGUUCAGCUAAUACCGCAUACGAUUGGAGCGGCCGAUGCCCGAUUAGCUAGUUGGUGAGGUAAAGGCUCACCAAGGCGACGAUCGUUAGCUGGUCUGAGAGGACGAGCAGACACACUGGGACUGCAACAAGGCCCAGAAUCCUACGAGAGGCAGCAGUGGGGAAUUUUGGACAAUGGAGGAAACCCUGAUGCAGCCAUGCGGCGUGCAGGAUGAAGGUAUUGGGAUUGUAAACUGCUUUUGUCAGGGAAGCGGUACCUGAAGAAUAAGCACCGGCUAACUACGUGCCAGCAGCCGCGGUAAUUC
rnacentral:rRNA from 1 species